UACGUGGGUCCCGAGCGUUGUCCGGAUUUAUUGGGCGUAAAGCGAGCGCAGGUGGUUUAUUAAGUCUGGUGUAAAAGGCAGUGGCUCAACCAUUGUAUGCAUUGGAAACUGGUAGACUUGAGUGCAGGAGAGGAGAGUGGAAUUCCAUGUGUAGCGGUGAAAUGCGUAGAUAUAUGGAGGAACACCGGUGGCGAAAGCGGCUCUCUGGCCUAUAACUGACACUGAGGCUCGAAAGCGUGGGGAGCAAACAGG
rnacentral:rRNA from 1 species